GCCCGCCUAGCUCAAUCGGAUAGAGCGUCAGACUCUUAUAGAUCAAUUUGAUCUGAAGGCUGCGAGUUCGACCCUCGCGGUGGGCU